UACAGAGACUGCGAGCGUUAUUCGGAUUCACUGGGCGUAAAGGGUGCGCAGGCGGCCGAGUGUGUGAGGCGUGAAAGCCCGGGGCUUAACCCCGGAAUUGCACCUCAAACUACACGGCUAGAGCAUUGGAGAGGGUAGCAGAAUUCAUGGUGUAGCAGUGAAAUGCGUAGAUAUCAAUGAGGAAUACCAGAGGCGAAGGCGGCUACCUGGACAAUUGCUGACCGCUCGAGG
rnacentral:rRNA from 1 species